GAUAAUUGUUUUGUUUUUGUGAGAAUUAUUGGACAGAAGAUUAGAAAUGUGUGUCUUCGGCCUAUUCAGAAACCGUUUUACAUCUGUUAAGUUGUUCUACGUUCUUUCUUUCUACAUUUUUUACGAUUCCAAGACGAAAAGGAGAGUCGACCGAGGAAUUUUGUUAAGCAACGAAAGGUUCCAAUAACAUUUGGCGCUACGAUCCAACGAUUGAUCAUACAAAAAAGAGAAAAGAAGAAAUGGAAAGGUUACUCGAAAACAUCUCUCGCGGAGAUCAAUAAGACGUUGAAUAAUAACAGUGUAUGGAUAUUAAAAUUAUAGAGAUAAAAUAUUAGAAGGUGCGAAGGUGUUUUUAAAAUCGAAAGUCACGUUCAAUAAUUCUACGUUGUAAAUAGAUAAGAGCGUGGUCUCUUAGCGACGCCCUCGGGCGAUAGUGUGUUUAUAUUGGAAGGAGAAAUUCCGGCAGUUGCGGCGUGGUAACGAUACGAGUCGUAUGGCGAUAUCGGCGCGCGGUAAAUAUAUCCAUGUUAUACUUAUUUAUUAUUUAUAAGCUCAUUAAUAAUCACGUUAACAAUUAAUUCUUAAAUAUUGGUUAAUUUAAAAAAUACUACUACACGCAUGUGUGUGUGUGUGUGUGUGUGUGUGUUCACUCUUAAAUCGCAUGUAUUAUUUAUUACAAUCCUUUACUCUAUUAACCUCGAUAUUUCUUUAAGUAGAAGUAUUUAAACCGAUAUUUUAUCUUUUAACGUGAUUCUUGAAUCGAGUUAAAACAAAGUCGUUAUUUCAAACGAUAAGAGAUCUUAAUAAAGAAUCGUCGUUUUACUUUGUGAUUUAUCUCAACGCGUUAUAAGCGGGUAUUUAUAUAUAUAACCCGAGAAGGUUAUUCGUUUUUCAAACUAUGUAAGCCAUGGCUAAUGGAAAAUUUUCGUUUUCGGACAGUUUUAUAUAAUAAUUUUCGAACGAACGAUCAUCGUAAAAUUGUCUGAUUCUUUUCUGAUCCUUUCUUGUCGUGGUAAAUCCAAAUAAAAUUUUAUUAAUCGACGUUUCUACUUUCUCCUUUAUACAUUUUAAUAUAUACGCCGGAAUAUCAGAGUCGCUCUCGAUUUUAUGGGCUGCCUAUCUCUUGAAUCACUGCGUUAAGAGUAAUAGCGGUUGAUAAAUGUUUUUACAAAAUCAGUUUAAUCA